rnacentral:rRNA from 1 species
AUUGAACGCUGGCGGCAGGCCUAACACAUGCAAGUCGAGCGGAGCGGCGGACGGGUGAGUAAUGCCUAGGAAUCUGCCUGGUAGUGGGGGAUAACUACGCGAAAGCGUAGCUAAUACCGCAUACUAUUGGAGCGGCCGAUAUCGGAUUAGCUAGUUGGUGGGGUAACGGCUCACCAAGGCGACGAUCCGUAGCUGGUUUGAGAGGACGACCAGCCACACUGGGACUGAGACACGGCCCAGACUCCUACGGGAGGAAGCAGUGGGGAAUAUUGGACAAUGGGCGAAAGCCUGAUCCAGCCAUGCCGCGUGUGUGAAGAAGGUCUUCGGAUUGUAAAGCACUUUAAGUUGGGAGGCGUUACCAACAGAAUAAGCACCGGCUAACUCCGUGCCAGCAGCCGCGGUAAUAC